UCAACUUGGGGAAGAGUUUACUUGGCUUACAGAUCACAGUCUGUCACUGAGGGAAGCAAGGAAGGACAUCAGGCGGGGCAGGAACCUGGAGGGAGGAAAUAAAUCAAAGGCCAAGGAGAUGUAGACCAUCACCUCCUUAAGACAAAAGAACUCCAAAACCCCCGGACCACUUCCACAGAUGAUGCCGAGACACUUAGCUGCACUGCUCUCCUGAUGCGGGCCCUCGGCUCCCCUCGAGAGUCUAUAUACCUCCUCCCAAUCAAUAAAAUAAACUCAAUG
rnacentral:lncRNA from 1 species